CCGGGGUGGCUGCCAGCGCUGCCGCCUGUCGUCCGCUACCCCGGCAUCCCGAACUGCCCCCCGCCGUUCCGGCCCGGUGCGCAGGAACCUGGAACAUGUUGCCUUCUGUGUCAAAGUGGAUUUUACUGAUGUAAUUAAAUGGAAAGAUCACGGUCCUGAUGUAAUCACCUACUUACAGCCAAAGGACUUGGUUGGAGAAAAGCAUGCAGCUACUGCAGGUGACCCUGAGUGGCUGUGCCUGAGAAGAUGGCCUUGGUUAAAAUUGUGAUAUAUUAAUCAAAG